rnacentral:tRNA from 1 species
GCCUUCGUGGUUAAUGGUCAGCACACUCGGCGCGUAUUCGAGAGGUCCGAGGUUCGAGUCCCAGCGAGGGCA